AAAGUUGCAGCGGUCUGAGCCGGCCCGUCUCAAAUCGACUCAAACCAGCUGAUGGCGUCGCUACGACUAAGCUGGUUGAGUCUCCAGAGACUGGUUUUAGAGCGUAAGGGAUGUCACCUGUUUCAACAGCCAAUAGAGAAGUCAGCUGGUCAAAUCAGCUUUGAACUUU